rnacentral:rRNA from 1 species
GUGUCAGCAGCCGCGGUAAUACGGAGGGUGCGAGCGUUAAUCGGAAUUACUGGGCGUAAAGCGCAUGCAGGUGGUCUGUUAAGUCAGAUGUGAAAGCCCGGGGCUUAACCUCGGAAUAGCAUUUGAAACUGGCAGGCUAGAGUACUGUAGAGGGGGGUAGAAUUUCAGGUGUAGCGGUGAGAUGCGUAGAGAUCUGAAGGAAUACCGGUGGCGAAGGCGGCCCCCUGGACAGAUACUGACACUCAGAUGCGAAAGCGUGGGGAGCAAACAGGAUUAGAAACCCCGGUAGUCC